AUCUGAGGGCAGAUAGCCUUGGAGAAGGCUCCUGUACGAACUGUUCUUAUCUUGGCCGAGAGCGCUCUGGAAUCCAGGGUACGCAAACGACCCCCAACCCAAUGUCAGCGCUGCCUGUUGAGCCAGCCGUUCUAACAAUCAAAACAGAUCGAGUUACCCAAAGUGAAAUUCACAGACAAGAAAUACUUUAAUUAAAUAUCAUGUAAAAUGAACAUUUUAUACAGUUAAACAUCUGAAAAAAAAGUACAGAUAAAACAAUCUUAUUGUAGGGUCUUCAACAGUAAAAUCUACCAUUUAGUGGAGCGCUCGGUUUUGAGACGAUGACGCCGUGAGGGCAACUAGGUACUCUAAGACCCAAACCAGGUACGGGGUGAGCAAACUCACAAAUGUCCCCAAUGUGUACACAUGAGCUCAUUUUUAGGUCAAACCCUUACAUAUACAAAAUAAAAUGGAGGCAGGUGAGUUCCAAAGUGACUCCUCAGGCCGGUCACGGGGCCAGAGUGUGACCGCUAGCCUCCAGGAUAUUCCAAUUCCUCCAUUUAGUCCCACAAAUGAACACUUUCAAGUCUGGAAUGGUUUUGGUCUUUCUCAAGAGAAAUUUAAGAAGUCCCUCCUUUUUGUUUUAGAUUUGACUUCUGCUGCAAAGUGUUGGCUGUGCUGUGUCCGAAAAGGGAAAAGAAAACGCCCCUCCUGGUCUCACCGCGGGUUUGGCACUAACAGGGAGAGUGUCGGAAGGAGGUCAUUCCAGCUCAGAAAGUACAGACAGUGGCUGCUGGGGUCUGACCACAGGAAAGGUAUUGUUAAAAGGGAAUUCUGGACAAAGGGUGGUUGUGGGUCCCCUGGGGCCUCUGAGUCUGGGGUGGGCUCAGGAGGACGCAGGACACAGCAGACCCAGAUGCAGAGAGCAGUGACGGGCUCGUGGGGCUUGUGCUUGAGUGUGUGUGCACGAUUGUGUGUGUGUGUGUGUCACUGCAAAUCUCCAAAUGAAAUCUUGAUCAACAAUCGUGGUGUAAGCCUGUGA
rnacentral:lncRNA from 1 species